AUGUCUAGGCUCUUGCAUCGAUGAAGAACGCAGCAAUCAGCGAUAUACGAUGAUAGGAGCGCUCCCGUGAAUCAUCGGAUCUUCGAACGCA
rnacentral:rRNA from 1 species